CCAGCGGGUGGGUCUUGGGCCGGGCAUCUUCGGAUGCGCAGGUUUCCUAUCGAGCCUGUCUGUCAACCGGUUCAAUGACCUGCCCACCCC
rnacentral:antisense_RNA from 1 species